CGCAGGGCGGACGCACCGGGGGGCGGCAAGGCAGGGAGCGGGAAGUUCGUAGAGGAGGGGAGGACGCUGCCUCCUCCCGGCCCAACUCACCGAAAAGGCUGCUGCUAAACCCGUCCCACACGCAGCCCACGGUGUCCCACACCCAGCCGUUCCGCAGGCAGGACACGAAGUGCUGGUGCGUCUAUCCUCUUAACCGGGGCCUGCCGAAGUCCUUCACCAGCGUGAUUGCUCAGGCUGUGCCCCCAAAGCUUCAACCUAAAUCUAGCAGGUGUAGAAAGAAUUAUGUAAUGAUGGGAUAAUGGCAAAAUACCACAAUUUAAAAAGCAAGUACAGUGCUAUCAUAA